GGACGAACGGCCUGGCGGCGUGCCUAACACAUGCAAGUCAACUUGACUGAAGGAGCAAUCUGACAGUAGAGUGGCGCAAGGGUGCGUAACGCGUAAGUAACUUGCCCAAGGUAAGGAAUAACGUCGAGAAAUCGGCGCUAAUACCUCAUAAUGCAGCGGAUCCGCAUGGAUAUGUUGUUAAAGGUUUACCGCCUUGGGAUAGGCUUGCGUCUGAUUAGCUAGUUGGUGUGGUAACGGCACACCAAGGCUACGAUCAGUAACUGGUCUGAGAGGAUGAUCAGUCACACUGGAACUGAGACACGGUCCAGACUCCUACGGGAGGCAGCAGUGAGGAAUAUUGGGCAAUGCUCGAAAGAGUGACCCAGCAACGCCGCGUGGAGGAUGAAGGUAUUCUAUAUCGUAAACUCCUGUGAGAGCAGACGAAAGACAGAUUAUUAAUCUGGAUGACUGUAUGCUCAGAGGAAGCCCCGGCUAACUACGUG
rnacentral:rRNA from 1 species